rnacentral:rRNA from 1 species
CUUGCUGGUCGGAUCAGUGGCGAACGGGUGAGUAACACGUGAGUAACCUGACCCAGACUCUGGGAUAAGCCUUGGAAACGAGGUCUAAUACUGGAUAUGAGAUGCCCCUGCAUGGGGAGUGUCUGGAAAGAUUUAUCGGUCUGGGAUGGACUCGCGGCCUAUCAGCUUGUUGGUGGGGUAAUGGCCUACCAAGGCGACGACGGGUAGCCGGCCUGAGAGGGCGACCGGCCACACUGGGACUGAGACACGGCCCAGACUCCUACGGGAGGCAGCAGUGGGGAAUAUUGCACAAUGGGCGCAAGCCUGAUGCAGCGACGCCGCGUGAGGGAUGAAGGCCUUCGGGUUGUAAACCUCUUUCAGCAGGGAAGAAGCGCAAGUGACGGUACCUGCAGAAGAAGCGCCGGCUAACUACGUGCCAGCAGCCGCGGUAAUACGUAGGGCGCAAGCGUUGUCCGGAAUUAUUGGGCGUAAAGAGCUCGUAGGCGGUUUGUCGCGUCUGGUGUGAAAACUCAAGGCUCAACCUUGAGCUUGCAUCGGGUACGGGCAGACUAGAGUGCGGUAGGGGUGACUGGAAUUCCUGGUGUAGCGGUGGAAUGCGCAGAUAUCAGGAGGAACACCGAUGGCGAAGGCAGGUCACUGGGCCGCAACUGACGCUGAGGAGCGAAAGCAUGGGGAGCGAACAGGAUUAGAUACCCUGGUAGUCCAUGCCGUAAACGUUGGGCACUAGGUGUGGGGCUCAUUCCACGAGUUCCGUGCCGCAGCAAACGCAUUAAGUGCCCCGCCUGGGGAGUACGGCCGCAAGGCUAAAACUC